AUUGAACGCUGGCGGCAGGCCUAACACAUGCAAGUCGAACGAGUGGCGGACGGGUGAGUAAUGUCUGGGAAACUGCCUGAUGGAGGGGGCUAACUACUGGAAACGGUAGCUAAUACCGCAUACCAUCGGAUGUGCCCAGAUGGGAUUAGCAAGUAGGUGGGGUAAAGGCUCACCUAGGCAACGAUCCCUAGCUGGUCUGAGAGUAUGACCAGCCUCCCUGGACAUGCGACACGGUCCAGACUCCUACGGGAGGCAGCAGUGGGGAAUAUUGCCCAAUUGGCGCAAGCCUGAUGCAGCCAGGCCGCGUGUAUGAAGAAGGCCUUCGGGUUGUAAAGUACUUUCAGCGGGGAGGCGUUACCCGCAGAAGAAGCACCGGCUAACUCCGUGCCAGCAGCCGCGGUAAUUC
rnacentral:rRNA from 1 species